GGAGGCGGUACUUCCUCCAGCAUUUGCCGCGAGUUAUUGGCAAGUUCCCCUGCAGUUGUUUGGGCUGUCGCUGUGGCUGGUUCUGCGGUGUGCGGCCAGCCAUGGAGCGCUCUGGGCCCAGCGAAGUGACAGGCUCAGACGCAUCGGGACCGGACCCGCAGCUUGUGGUCACCAUGGGCUUCACGGGGUUCGGGGUUCGGUAAAAAAGCUCACACAUUUGACUUGGAAGCAAUGUUUGAACAAACUCAAAGAACAGCUGUGGAAAGAAGUCACAAAACACUGGACCAGAUUACAGAGGGGUAUUGAUUUGCCUUGCCCCCGCCCCCACCAUCACAGUGUGUCCCUGUCCAGUGUUGGUGCUGUGUGGCAUUGCUUGUGUCCAUAGGAGUCCAUCAAGGCAGAGCGGCAGAGCGGCAAGCAGAGCGGCAAGGCAGUUCAACCCAAUGGAAAUGGAUUGAAAGAGUGAAAGUCACUGGUCUCAAAGAAUCUACGGAAUUUAGCAUUUUGAAAAUCACAGAGCAAUUUUGGGUAGGUAUUCACAUGCACUAAAAAACCAGGCAAACAUCUGACUCCCAGGAUAAAGUGACUGAGAGCAGUAGAAGACUUGUUGAGCCUUAAGGAAUAAGAGGAAAAUUAUGUUAUGAAGUGCAGGAACAGCACAGACCCAGACGAGGGGAUGCAGCCCGGAGCCAGUAACCCGGCGCCUCCUCCUCCCCAGGGCGCAGCGCUGGCUGCUCCCCGGAUACCGUGAUCACACGUCCCAGGUCCUGAGAGCGCCUCAUAGGUAGACAGUUCUUUGGGACUUUUGGGACGCAGCACUUGAAGAGAGGUUUACCUAAACUUUCCUCCUGGGAGCCUGUCAUCAUUUGAAAGUAACAGAAGAAAGCUGUCAGGCUGAGGAAAGUUUCAACAGGCACUUGGUGAGAAUGGGAAGCAUCCAUUCAUUGGGAAAUCACGGGGACAGAGGAGGAAUUCACGGGAUCAGAGCACUGAGAAACUCCAGAGGCUUCUGGUUCACCGCCCUGAUUCCACAGAUGUGGGUCAGAGGCAGAGAUGGAAGUUGGAAUGGACAAGCCUGCCCUCUCCUCAGCUCUCCAUGGCUCUGUCCUCAGGCUGUUUCUGCAAUUUGACAUGAGGCCUGGCCCCAGGGAAACCAGUGGGGCCUCAUCUCCUCCCUGUGCUGCUCUGAGGUGGAGCCUUCUCAGGGUCAGUCCAGCUCUGGAGCCCCUCUCCAGCUCGGUCACCAAAGCUGUCUGGUCCCAGGGCAGUGUGGAGUGACAGGCACGCCAGCCAAUCCAAUCGGCCAUUUCAUACCCAAUGCAUGUGACUGAUAAAGAGAUAACACCCUGUCUCCAAGACACAGGCUUUACAUAAACAGCUUUAAUGACUUCUUCACUUAGGGACAAGACUCCUUAGUGGUGGAACCUCAGGCAUCCAUGCAGGAUGUAAGAAAGCUCCCGUAUAUACAUGAACUGAGAAGUGUGUAGAAGAGUAAAUACUGUAAUAGGUAAUAAAAUGUAUGUAUUUUUAUUUAUGUGCUACUUUGUCUUUCUCCCUCUCUGUGUAUAUACACAUACAUACAAAAAUGUAUUCAUUCUAUGGAAAACAUGAAAGAUGUAAUAUUCUUUACAUAUUUAAUUAAUGUAUUUUUUCUGAUCAUAUGAACACCACAAAUAUAAUUUUAUAAUUUUUUUACCUAACAAUAAGUCUUAAACAUAAAUAUACAUGGACAAUAUCAUAGUUUUUUUUUUAAUCAUAAUUAAAAUGGUUGUGAAACA
rnacentral:lncRNA from 1 species